rnacentral:lncRNA from 1 species
GAUCCGGCCCGCGGGCCGUAGUUUGGCGACCCCUGGACUAGUCUAUCAUUGUUGUUCAAACUGAUUUCAGCUCAAUGUCAAUUGAAGGCUACACUUUUUUCCAACACUUCAGCAUGGUAGUGCUCUCCUCGAUAUCCCAUGCUUCUGCUGUUCAGAAAACAUCAUCACACAUGCUAAUCAUUUACCACAUGCUCAGCAUAGCCUUGGUGGAAUCAUUUUCACAUUCAUCCAACAGAGAGACCAGAUUAGCAAGAGUCUGCUAUGUAAAUCUGAAAUGUUCAGAGGCUGGAAAUGCCCAAAAUUUAUGGAUUACCCAUUAUCAAUAUUUAUUACUAAACUCCACACUAUCAAAAUAAAAUUAAUGAACACAAAAAUACAAGAAUCAAAUACAGAAACAAUGCUUUCCAUAUAUCAG